CAAAGGAGCAAUCCGCUGAAAGAUGGGCUCGCGUCCGAUUAGGUAGUUGGCGGGGCAACGGCCCACCAAGCCGACGAUCGGUAGCCGGACUGAGAGGUUGAACGGCCACAUUGGGACUGAGACACGGCCCAGACUCCUACGGGAGGCAGCAGUGAGGGAUAUUGGUCAAUGGGGGAAACCCUGAACCAGCAACGCCGCGUGAGGGAAGACGGUUUUCGGAUUGUAAACCUCUGUCCUCUGUGAAGAUGAUGACGGUAGCAGAGGAGGAAGCUCCGGCUAACUACGUGCCAGCAGCCGCGGUAAUACGUAGGGAGCAAGCGUUGUCCGGAUUUACUGGGUGUAAAGGGUGCGUAGGCGGCUUUGCAAGUCAGAAGUGAAAUCCAUGGGCUUAACCCAUGAACUGCUUUUGAAACUGCAGAGCUUGAGUGGAGUAGAGGUAGGCGGAAUUCCCGGUGUAGCGGUGAAAUGCGUAGAGAUCGGGAGGAACACCAGUGGCGAAGGCGGCCUGCUGGGCUCUAACUGACGCUGAGGCACGAAAGCGUGGGUAGCAAACAGGAUUAGAUACCCUGCUAGUCCACGCUGUAAACGAUGAUUACUAGGUGUGGGUGGACUGACCCCAUCC
rnacentral:rRNA from 1 species